GGCGGAUUCCGAGUGGAAGGGCCGUCGCUCAUCAGAUAAAAGGUACUCCGGGGAUAACAGGCUGAUCUCCCCCAAGAGUUCAUAUCGACGGGGAGGUUUGGCACCUCGAUGUCGGCUCAUCGCAUCCUGGGGCUGAAGGCGGUCCCAAGGGUUUGGCUGUUCGCCAAUUAAAGCGGUACGUGAGCUGGGUUUAGACCGUCGUGAGACAGGUCGGUCCCUAUCUGGUGUGGGUGUAGGAUGAUUGAGGAGGUUUUCCCCUAGUACGAGAGGAUUGGGGAGGACGAACCGCUGGUGCUCCAGUUAUCACGCUAGUGGUACAGCUGGGUAGCUAAGUUCGGAACGGAUAAGCGCUGAAUGCAUCUAAGCGCGAAGCCUUCUCCAAGACGAGUCAUCCCUUAGAGUCCCCUGGGAGACUACCAGGUUGAUAGGCAGGCGGUGUAAGCGCAGCAAUGCGUUCAGCUUACCUGUACUAAUCGGACCAUCGGCUUAAACAC
rnacentral:rRNA from 1 species